rnacentral:rRNA from 1 species
AGUCUAACCUGCCCACUGAAUAAAUUUAAAUGGCCGCAGUAUACUAACUGUGCAAAGGUAGCAUAAUCAUUAGUCUUUUAAUUGAAGGCUUGUAUGAAUGGUUGGACGAGAUAUUAACUGUUUCAUAAAAAUUUAUAAUAGAAUUUUAUUUUUUAGUCAAAAAGCUAAAAUAAAAUUAAAAGACGAGAAGACCCUAUAAAUCUUUAUAUAUAAAUUAUUAGAAUUUUAUAGAUUUUUUUUAUUAUAAUAAUUAAUUAUAUUUUAUUGGGGUGAUAUUAAAAUUUAAUAAACUUUUAAUUGUUUAAAUCAUUAAUUUAUGAAAUAUUGAUCCGUUAAUAGCGAUUAAAAAAAUAAGUUACUUUAGGGAUAACAGCGUAAUUUUUUUGGAGAGUUCAUAUCGAUAAAAAAGAUUGCGACCUCGAUGUUGGAUUAAGAUAUAAUUUUAGGUGUAGCCGCUUAAAUUUUAAGUCUGUUCGACUUUUAAAUUCUUAC